rnacentral:rRNA from 1 species
GGCAAGGAACCUGCGUGAGAGCACAAGGCAUUCCAGUGUGAACAAGUGAGUUACUGGAAGUCAGGCAGGGGUAUGUACUCGGUGAAGGACCAGGGAUGUUUGCACGAUGGUCAAAGGGUGUUCGGCUGGAUCGAGGACAGGUGCAUGCAUGGCAUGUCGUCAGCUCGUGUCGUGAGAUGAUGGGUUAAGUCCCUGCAANCGAGCGGCAAACCNCUCGCCACGUUAGUUGCACAUCAGGUUAAGCAUGGGCANCUUNUAGGGGAACGGCCGGUGAUAAGCACGGAGGAAGGCGAGGAUGACGUCAAGUCCUCAUGGCCCUUACGGGCUGGGCUACACACGUGCUACAAUGGCAGGUGACAGUGGGCAGCGACCCCGCGAAGGGUGAGCUAAUCCCCAAAAACCGUCUCAGUUCGGAUUGUUCUCAGCAACUCGAGAGCAUGAAGGUGGAAUCGCUAGUAAUCGUGGAUCAGCAUGCCACGGUGAAUACGUUCCCGGGCCUUGUACACACCGCCCGGUCACACCCAUGGGAGUUGGUUUUACCCGAAGCCGGUGCGCUAACCUUUUAGGAGGCAGCCGACCCGUAGUAGGAUUGAUCUGUCC